GCUGCCACUGUGUGCAAACAGGCUUUGUCGACAGACUCGCAGUCUCCAUCACCCAGCAGGAGCAUAGACCUAAAAGAAAUGGACAAACAGACUCCGUCGUUCUCAAUGAGAGGGGGCUGAAACAAAAAAUCGUUUCCUGUUCAUCGUACUGCGCAGACUCAAACUCAUUUUGUGACGUUGGCCGCCCUGAACAUUGCUGUAACUCGUCUGAUAGAUGUUCAUACAGAUAUUUUGCCAUUCGACCUCGACUGACUGCGAUUUCUUGGAUCUUAGUUUACCAGUCAGACCACUACACCUUUGCCAGCACCACCACCCAGCAAGCUUCAUCAACUCCAGCCAUGCCGAGUUUACCAGUCAGACCUACACCUCCGUCAAAUUCGCUCACAGCGCUGCCAAUAACACCCCAGCAAGAUUUUUACAGACUUGUUCUGCAGCACUUCCGAACAAUUGAGGAGGAGCUGGGGUAAAGCAGCAGGUGGCUGUGAACACAUCUAUGCUGCAGAAGCUAGGUGGUGGUGGUGUGGCGGACCUUGGCCUCGUGGAGGACAACAACAGGCCAUUGAGUAAUGCUGAGGACCUGGACGAGUUGGAGAGGCGGCUUGCAUUCGAUGCGGACCUGAAAAAUCAACUGGUGAACAUACUUGGGAGGGAAAACCACCGAGAUGCUGUUAAGAGGAUGCUGGGCCGGGCUUUGAGGAGGUCCCUGGCGCUCCAAAUUAAUUAGACUGGUGCAGCAGGAAAGGUGGCUUUUAAGUCCUUACACCUGAAGAGUGUGUUGCAUAUUAAUAUCAUUAUUAAAAAUAAUUUUAAUAAAUUGUUUAAGCAUGUAGAAGAAAUAAAGCAUGUA